UAUAAUCACAGCUCCUUCUCCCCCCUCACCCCCCCCUCCAACUCACAAAGUGGGCCAUUCAGGUAUAUUAUAUGCACACCAUAACACUGAACAAUGUCCCAGAUGUUGGAGAAAAUGGGGUUCAAAAGGAUAUAAACAAACUUAUUAGUAAAACUCUAAGACAAACAAAAUUGUAUCAUUAUUUUGUCUUCAACUUAAACAAUAAAUACAUGAAGUGGUACCUGUGAUUGUUCAAUGCAAAACCAAUUUGUAAAAUCUGCAAAUCAAUAAAAACAGUUAUAGGACAUACAUAGAACUAUAAAUAAAUACAUGAAAUGGUAGCUCUAAGUUUGAAUACAGUAAAACCGUGGACUUCUGUUUGAACUCAUAAACCUCUCAGGAGUGCUCAUUUCCAUUUGAAAAAAAUAAGGCUUGAAUUAUGAAAUAAUUAAAAUCUGUAAUAG